GGGUCGGUGUCCGAGUGGUUAAUGAAGACGGACUGUAAAUCCGUUGGUUUACGCCUACGCUGGUUCAAAUCCAGCCCGGCCCACCU
rnacentral:tRNA from 1 species